rnacentral:misc_RNA from 1 species
GGGAGAUUUCUCAGCGUGAGGCAUAGAGCUUUAACCAAUUCAUGCAAGUCUAGAAUGUCAAUGGCAUAUUUUGCUGCACCACCUCUCAGCACCAAGAUCACUGCACUACCACAGAUGCUCUCAGCCGUUAGGCCUUCAUUGUACAGGCCAUUCACUUGGGGUGACUAUAAGAAAGCUGCAUAUUCUCUACGCCUUGGAGAUACCCGUCUUGAUCUAUUCAUGAAAAGAGGAGAAGAGCUUGCUUGAUGGCAUGUGCGUAGUACAGUCACGAGCAAAUAUCCAAAUAUGUAGGGUUUAAUUUAUGUCCUUUUUGCACCCCUCCAGGGGAGUUUUGAUUAAGAUUCC